AUUGAACGCUGGCGGCAGGCCUAACACAUGCAAGUCGAACGGUAACAGGAAGUAGCUUGCUACUUUGCUGACGAGUGGCGGACGGGUGAGUAAUGUCUGGGGAUCUGCCUGAUGGAGGGGGAUAACUACUGGAAACGGUAGCUAAUACCGCAUAAUGUCGCAAGACCAAAGCGGGGGACUUUCGAGCCUCGCACCAUCAGAUGAACCCAGAUGGGAUUAGCUAGUAGGUAAGGUAAUGGCUUGCCUAGGCGACGAUCCCUAGCUGGUCUGAGAGGAUGACCAGCCACUCGGGAACUGAGGCACGGUCCAGCCUCCUACGGGAGGCAGCAGUGGGGAAUAUUGCACAAUGGGCGCAAGCCUGAUGCAGCCAUGCCGCGUGUAUGAAGAAGGCCUUCGGGUUGUAAAGUACUUUCAGCGGGGAGGAAGGCGGUGAAGUUAAUAGCUUCACCGAUUGACGUUACCCGCAGAAGAAGCACCGGCUAACUCCGUGCCAGCAGCCGCGGUAA
rnacentral:rRNA from 1 species